AUGCGGCGCGUGCCAACCGGACGCGGCGGAGAAGGGAAACGGCACGAUUUUUCCGGUUUCUCGUGUCGGCCAACGAAACGGCAGACGAGUCCCUCACCCGCCCGCGCC
rnacentral:sRNA from 1 species